rnacentral:rRNA from 1 species
CUGGCUCAGGACGAACGCUGGCGGCGUGCUUAACACAUGCAAGUCGAACGGGGAUUAGCGAGCGGAAGGCUCGGCCGGAAGGUUGGUAAUUCGAGUGGCGGACGGGUGAGUAACGCGUGAACAAUCUGUCCCAGACAGGGGGAUAACACUUGGAAACAGGUGCUAAUACCGCAUAAGACCACAGGGCCGCAUGGACCAGGGGUAAAAGGAGCGAUCCGGUUUGGGGUGAGUUCGCGUCCGAUUAGAUAGUUGGUGAGGUAACGGCCCCACCAAGUCAACGAUCGGUAGCCGACCUGAGAGGGUGAUCGGCCACAUUGGAACUGAGAGACGGUCCAAACUCCUACGGGAGGCAGCAGUGGGGAAUAUUGGGCAAUGGGCGAAAGCCCUGACCCAGCAACGCCGCGUGAGUGAAGAAGGCCUUCGGGUUGUAAAGCUCUGUUAUAGUUGACGAAGGAAGUGACGGUAGGCUAUAAGGAAGCCCCGGCUAACUACGUGCCAGCCGCCGC